UUGAUGCUCAUAUCAAUCACUUGAUUGUCUGGUCCAGAGUCUGUUAUUCACAGACUGCUGUCAUAUAGCUGGGACAUUGCUGAGUGCAGCAUUAAACAAACAAAGCAUAUCAUUGUAUCACGAUGGCAUGGAAUUUUUAUCAUGAAGUCAACCACUGGUUAUUUUGUUAGAUUCCCCAAACUGUUAUUCUGUAAAUUUUCCCAAACUGUUAUUCGAUUCAUGUUAAUGUCAAUAAUGCCCAAGAAAUGUCAACAAGGAUGACGACUAUUCCCCUUGAGUUAAACCUUUGGUUUUCUCGGUGAAAGCUUCAGCUUUGUCUGAGUUGACAGGGCGAAAACAGAACAGAAAAAGUUUGUGAAUACAAGCCUUUCAUACUUGGCCAACUCACUGGAAGUGGAAAGCAAUGUAAGAGUUAAUAUUUUUUAGAGGCUGCAUUAGCACUAAUACAAGCAUGUUUGGUGGAUGCUUCAGUUUUUUAAUUGAAGUAAGAAAAAAACAUAUUUGAUCUUUUAAGUGCUGGUUAUCCAUAGUCAUGAACGCAUGUGGAAUUAUAAGAUCAAAGGUCAAGGUCAGACUCAAAAUGCUGCCUGAUAGGUCAAGGUCACGUCAUUAAAAAAAAAGAUUUCAUCACCAAAUUUGUAUGUUGGUUAAAUUUCAAGAUCCUGGCUAAGGUUAUUGUAAAUGAGUGAAUGGUCAAUGUCGUCAGUGCCAAAGGUCAGUGUCAUCAGUGCCAAAGGUCAAUGUUGUCAGUGCCAAAGGUCAAUGUCGUCAGUGCCAAAGGUCAGUGUCAUCAGUGCCAAAGGUCAAUGUUGUCAGUGCCAAAGGUCAAUGUCGUCAGUGCCAAAGGUCAAUGUCGUCAGUGCCAAAGGAAAACCUUGUCAGUUCCAAAGGUCAAUGUCGUCAGUUCCAAAGGUCAAUGUCGUCAGUUCCAAAGGUCAAAUUCAUUUUUACAAUGUGCUGUCCCCCAGCUAAGUAAAGAAUCCAACUGCUUGAUCUAGUGUUUGACGUUUGGACACUGAGUGUGAAUGAACGCAAUGAAUGGAGCCUCGCCUGAAGGGUAACAAGACUGGAAUACAACUUUCAAACUUUAGGGUUCUAUAAACAUGCUAAAAACAAAAAGAUUCAAGAAGACCAUAGUAUAAAUAUUUGAGAAUAGCGUGCCCAAGAAAUGUCAACAGGGAUGACGACUAUUCCCCUUGAGUUAAACCUUUGGUUUUCUCGGUGACAGCUUCAGCUUUGUCUGAGUUGACAGGGCGAAAUCAGAA